UUUUUUUUUUUUUUUUCUUGAGACGGAGUCUCGCUCUGUCACCCAGGCUGGAGUGCAGUGGCGAGAUCUCGUCUCACUGCAAGCUCUGCCUUCCGGGUUCAUGCCAUUCUCCUACCUCAGCCUCCCGAGUAGCUGGGACUACAGGCGCCCGCCACCACGCCUGGCUAAUUUUUUGUGUUUUUUUAGUAGAGACGGGGUUCCACCGUGUUAGCCAGGAUGGUCUCGGUCUCCUGACUUCGUGAUCUACCCGCCUCAGCCUCCCAAACUGCUGGGAUUACAGGCAUGAGCAACGGCGCCCGGGCAUGGCCCAGGCUUUGAGUCAGGUUUCUAUGUUUAUCUGUUCUCCUAUUCUGUGCUGAAAACACCUGAACUCCCUGUUUGCUUACCCUCUACCCCACUGCAACCUGAAACAUAGAAAUACGCCUUCUUCAGACCCUCUAAAGUAGAUACAAUUAUCCAAGGAGGAGCAUAGUGUAAGAACCAAAGAAGGGCUAAGUUUGAGCCUUGAGGAACUUAAACAUUUAAUAGCAGAAUGGAAGAGGAUAAACUUGCAAAGGAGGCUGAUAAGGAUAUCAUAGAAAGAUGGAAGGAAACUAGAAGAGACACAUCAUGGAAGUCAAUUACUUAGCACAGGGUUGACACAUAGUACACUCUUUGUAUGUGGCUAGAGAAUGUGGCUGAGGAAUGAAUGAUGAAUGCCUCUUCCUUUUACCUGGGUGGGGGUGGAGGGUAGGAGGUGAUUGCUAGAGAUGCUGAAUUAGAGGAAGAUGGCCCUGGGUGAACUUACUUAAUCAGCAGAUAUCUGUGUUAAUGCUGGUGUCUUACAUUUCUAUAUACGUGAUCGUUACCCUGCACACAAUUUGACAUGUGAACGUGCUCACAUAUACAUCCAUGCAUGCACACAGAUGUCUAUACAUACAUGUAUGUACAGUUUGUACUUCCUAUUUUCUCAGUUUUUACUUCCACCUCUUCCAUCUACCCCAGAUUCCUGUGGACUUGUGGUUGUUUUCACACUCCUCAUGCUUAUCUUGAUCUUUCUCCCUCCCCUUAUAAUAUUUCCUGUAUUCAUUCCUCUGGGCCUUUUGGUCUUUCAUUUUGUUUUUUAUUUCUGCUGCUUCUUUCCAGGCUGCUUAAAGCACCUCCCAACAGAUUUUCAAUAGGAAUACAGAGGCUCACUUUGGCAGUGCAGAUGUUAUACAAUGGCAAUGUUCAGUGCUUUUUUUUUUUUUGGUUCCUACAGGGACUGGAUGCAUACAGUGUUUCACUGCUGAUUCUUUGUAAUAGUACUGCACAGGCAAAAUGUUAAUAAAUUAUAGCAGCAGAACUAAUUAAAAGGCAUGCAUUAUACAUCUUGUGGACACAUUCUUCAUUAGCAUAAAUUCUCAGCAUUACACAUUCAUGUCGGAAGGAAUUAAAAGGAAAAACUUAAAAAUAAAAAGGCAUACAUACAGAGACCCAAAUGCUUUGGUUUCCCCAAGGCUUUUGCUGAGCAUAUGCCCUUGUGGAUUCAGUAGUUCUUUUAAUUUUUGUGUGUU
rnacentral:lncRNA from 1 species